UACGUAGGGUGCGAGCGUUAAUCGGAAUUACUGGGCGUAAAGCGUGCGCAGGCGGUUUUGUAAGGCAGAUGUGAAAGCCCCGGGCUUAACCUGGGAAUGGCAUUUGGGACUGCAAGGCUGGAGUGUGGCAGAGGAGACUGGAAUUCCUGGUGUAGCAGUGAAAUGCGUAGAUAUCAGGAGGAACACCGAUGGCGAAGGCAGGUCUCUGGGCUGACACUGACGCUCAUGCACGAAAGCGUGGGGAGCAAACAGG
rnacentral:rRNA from 1 species